UACGUAGGGCGCAAGCGUUAUCCGGAAUUAUUGGGCGUAAAGAGCUCGUAGGCGGUUUGUCACGUCGGCUGUGAAAUCCCGCGGCUCAACUGCGGGUCUGCAGUCGAUACGGGCAGGCUAGAGUUCGGUAGGGGAGACUGGAAUUCCUGGUGUGAGCGGUGAAAUGCGUAGAUAUCGCUUGGAACGCCGAAGGUGAAAACAGGUUGCUGGGGAUGCGCCGGACGCUGAGACGACGAAA
rnacentral:rRNA from 1 species